rfam:Oryza sativa Japonica Group DNA, chromosome 10, cultivar: Nipponbare, complete sequence.
CCCCUCGUCGACGAAGAACUGAUGGGCUAUGUUUUGGUCGGCCUUGGUGAUGACUACGAACCGGUGGUCUCCAGUUUGGUAGGCAAACACGAACCAGUUUCAAUUUUUGAAGUUUACUCACAACUUCUCAGUUUCGAGU